rnacentral:rRNA from 1 species
GUAGGUGGCAAGCGUUGCCCGGAAUUAUUGGGCGUAAAGCGCGCGCAGGUGGUUCUUUAAGUCUGAUGUGAAAGCCCCCGGCUCAACCGGGGAGGGUCAUUGGAAACUGGGGAACUUGAGUGCAGGAGAGGAAAGUGGAAUUCCACGUGUAGCGGUGAAAUGCGUAGAUAUGUGGAGGAACACCAGUGGCGAAGGCGACUUUCUGGCCUGUAACUGACACUGAGGCGCGAAAGCGUGGGGAGCAAACAGGGAUUAGAUACCCUGGCAGUCCACGCCGUAAACGAUGAGUGCUAAGUGUUGGGGGGGUUUCCGCCCCCUCAGUGCUGCAGCUAACGCAUUAAGCACUCCGCCUGGGAGUACGGUCGCAAGACUG